GCAAUGGUGGCUCAAUGGUAGAAUUCUUACCUUCCCUGUGGGAGACCUGGGUUCAAUCCCCAGCCAACGCA
rnacentral:tRNA from 1 species